rnacentral:rRNA from 1 species
AGAGUUUGAUUCUGGCUCAGAACGAACGCUGGCGGCGUGGAUAAGACAUGCAAGUCGAACGAGAAACUUUUGGAGCUUGCUUUGGAAGUUUCUAGUGGCGAACGGGUGCGUAACACGUGAGUAACCUGCCCAAGAGAGGGGGAUAGCUCGAGGAAACUCGAAUUAAUACCUGAAAAGACUAAAGGUGGGGAUCUUAGGACCUGCCGCUCUUGGAUGGACUCGCGGCCUAUCAGCUUGUUGGUGAGGUAACGGCUCACCAAGGCUACGACGGGUAACUGGUCUGAGAGGACGACCAGUCACACUGGAACUGAGACACGGUCCAGACACCUACGGGUGGCAGCAGUCGAGAAUCAUUCGCAAUGGACGAAAGUCUGACGGUGCGACGCCGCGUGGAGGAUGACGGCCCUAGGGUUGUAAACUCCUGUCAUCAGAGAGUAAGGUUUUUGGGUUAACAGCCCGGACAGUUUGAUAGUAGCUGAAGAGGAAGAGACGGCUAACUCUGUGCCAGCAGCCGCGGUAAUACAGAGGUCUCAAGCGUUGUUCGGAAUCACUGGGCGUAAAGCGUGUGUAGGCGGCUUGGUAAGUCAGAUGUGAAAUCUCCGGGCUCAACCCGGAAACUGCAUCCGAUACUGCCAGGCUUGAGUAGUGGAGGGGAGUCUGGAAUUCACGGUGUAGCAGUGAAAUGCGUAGAUAUCGUGAGGAACACUAGUGGCGAAGGCGAGACUCUGGACACUUACUGACGCUGAGACACGAAGGCUAGGGUAGCGAAAGGGAUUAGAUACCCCGGUAGUCCUAGCAGUAAACGGUGCACGUUUGGUGUGGGGGGAUUCGACCCCCUCCGUGCCGGAGCUAACGCGUUAAGCGCGCCGCCUGGGGAGUACGGCCGCAAGGCUAAAACUCAAAGAAAUUGACGGGGACCCGCACAAGCGGUGGAGUAUGUGGCUUAAUUCGAUGCAACGCGAAGAACCUUACCUGGGCUUGACAUGCUUAUCGUAGUUUCCCGAAAGGGUUACGUCAGCUCGGCUGGAUUUGCACAGGUGCUGCAUGGCUGUCGUCAGCUCGUGUCGUGAGAUGUUGGGUUAAGUCCCGCAACGAGCGCAACCCCUGUGAAUAGUUGCCAGCACAUAAUGGUGGGGACUCUAUUCAGACUGCCCAGAUCAACUGGGAGGAAGGUGGGGACGACGUCAAGUCAGUAUGGCCCUUACGCCCAGGGCUGCACACGUACUACAAUGCCCAGUACAAUGUGAACCGAUACCGCGAGGUGGAGGAAAUCCUUAAAACUGGGCUCAGUUCGGAUUGGAGGCUGCAACUCGCCUCCAUGAAGUCGGAAUCGCUAGUAAUGGCGCAUCAGCUACGGCGCCGUGAAUACGUUCCCGGGUCUUGUACACGCCGCCCGUCACAUCAUGGAAGCCGCUCGUACCCGAAGUGUCUGUGCCAACAAG